UUGAAAAUUUGUAACAUAUAUAUGUGUUGGGGUACAAUACAUUCAACCAUGAGUGCUCAAGGGCUGCUAACCAAUUUAGGGAGAAAACGAAAUGGUCCAAAAUUCAACCCCUCUAGUCUAUUGGGUUGCCUCUCUUCUUUAUAUAGGCAUGCUCAACCCAUAAUAAUUGCUCAUUUUCAGGCCUCCUUAGUGGCCAAACCCAAGUGUGUAAAGGUAGAGGUCUCACCACAAAUUGCCCGUAACCUUGGUCACACCCUCCACCCGAUUGGACACUUAUUCCUGAGAGGCCCUUCCGCCACGGGCUCCAAGUCUUCUUCACAAGUCACCGCGUCGUAUCCGCGACGUUCAACUGGAGAUUCGUAUCCCUAAUCUUUUCAUGAAAGGACGGGGUGCCGAGCUGGUCCAUAAAUAUAUUUCUGAAGGACACUCUUCAUGAAGCCAACUUGAGCUGAUCAAUCUUCCCCAUCCUUGAACACGAUACCUCCGCCUCUCAGGAACCGGCUCAGAAGGUGCCACAAUCCGACUCUACAUUGAGCAGUAUGAGAAGGAUCCAUCGAAAGUUGGCAGAGAAUCCUCAGAAGCACUUAUAGUCCUCUUGUGGAGGUUGCUCUUAAGCUUUCGAACAUGCAAGAGUUCACCGGACGAUCUGCCCCGACCGUCAUCAUGUAGAUCCACAUCUCUAAAAUCCCAUGAACAAGGACCGGCUUGUUAUCAUCAAAGGUAUUGGUAAUAAGAGAACCUUUUUUUUGUAACGUUGAUGGGUCUGUGGGUCUCUGAUGUCAACAAUUUUUUGUUCGUCCAAAAUAAUGCGAACUAUGUUUUGCAA